GUAGGUGGCAAGCGUUGUCCGGAAUUAUUGGGCGUAAAGCGCGCGCAGGCGGUUCUUUAAGUCUGAUGUGAAAGCCCACGGCUCAACCGUGGAGGGUCAUUGGAAACUGGAGAACUUGAGUACAGAAGAGGAAAGCGGAAUUCCACGUGUAGCGGUGAAAUGCGUAGAGAUGUGGAGGAACACCAGUGGCGAAGGCGGCUUUCUGGUCUGUAACUGACGCUGAGGCGCGAAAGCGUGGGGAGCAAACAGGAUUAGAUACCCUGGUAGUCCACGCCGUAACCGAUGAGUGCUAAGUGUUAGGGGGUUUCCGCCCCCCUUAGUGCUGCAGCUAACGCAUUAAGCACUCCGCCUGGGAGUACGGCCGCAAGGCUG
rnacentral:rRNA from 1 species